UGCGGAAGGAUCAUUACCGAGUGCGGGUCCUUUGGGCCCAACCUCCCAUCCGUGUCUAUUGUACCCUGUUGCUUCGGCGGGCCCGCCGCUUGUCGGCCGCCGGGGGGGCGCCUCUGCCCCCCGGGCCCGUGCCCGCCGGAGACCCCAACACGAACACUGUCUGAAAGCGUGCAGUCUGAGUUGAUUGAAUGCAAUCAGUUAAAACUUUCAACAAUGGAUCUCUUGGUUCCGGCAUCGAUGAAGAACGCAGCGAAAUGCGAUAACUAAUGUGAAUUGCAGAAUUCAGUGAAUCAUCGAGUCUUUGAACGCACAUUGCGCCCCCUGGUAUUCCGGGGGGCAUGCCUGUCCGAGCGUCAUUGCUGCCCUCAAGCCCGGCUUGUGUGUUGGGUCGCCGUCCCCCUCUCCGGGGGGACGGGCCCGAAAGGCAGCGGCGGCACCGCGUCCGAUCCUCGAGCGUAUGGGGCUUUGUCACAUGCUCUGUAGGAUUGGCCGGCGCCUGCCGACGUUUUCCAACCAUUCUUUCCAGGUUGACCUCGGAUCAGGUAGGGAUACCCGCUGAACUUAAGCAUAUCAUAAGGCGAGAGGAAUCAUUACCGAGUGCGGGUCCUUUGGGCCAACCUCCAUCCGUGUCUAUUGUACCCUGUUGCUUCGGCGGGC
rnacentral:rRNA from 1 species